UGCAGUCGAACGGUGGAAGAGGAGCUUGCUCCUCUGGAUCAGUGGCGAACGGGUGAGUAACACGUGAGCAAUCUGCCCUGGACUCUGGGAUAAGCGUUGGAAACGACGUCUAAUACCGGAUACGCGACGCGAAGGCAUCUUCAGCGUCGGGAAAGAAUUUCGGUCCAGGAUGAGCUCGCGGCCUAUCAGCUAGUUGGUGAGGUAACGGCCCACCAAGGCGACGACGGGUAGCCGGCCUGAGAGGGUGACCGGCCACACUGGGACUGAGACACGGCCCAGACUCCUACGGGAGGCAGCAGUGGGGAAUAUUGCACAAUGGGCGCAAGCCUGAUGCAGCAACGCCGCGUGAGGGACGACGGCCUUCGGGUUGUAAACCUCUUUUAGUAGGGAAGAAGCGAAAGUGACGGUACCUGCAGAAAAAGCACCGGCUAACUACGUGCCAGCAGCCGCGGUAAUACGUAGGGUGCAAGCGUUAUCCGGAAUUAUUGGGCGUAAAGAGCUCGUAGGCGGUUUGUCGCGUCUGCUGUGAAAACUGGAGGCUCAACCUCCAGCCUGCAGUGGGUACGGGCAAACUAGAGUGCGGUAGGGGAGAUUGGAAUUCCUGGUGUAGCGGUGGAAUGCGCAGAUAUCAGGAGGAACACCGAUGGCGAAGGCAGAUCUCUGGGCCGUAACUGACGCUGAGGAGCGAAAGCAUGGGGAGCGAACAGGAUUAGAUACCCUGGUAGUCCAUGCCGUAAACGUUGGGCGCUAGAUGUGGGGACCAUUCCACGGUUUCCGUGUCGCAGCUAACGCAUUAAGCGCCCCGCCUGGGGAGUACGGNCGCAAGGCUAAAACUCAAAGGAAUUGACGGGGGCCCGCACAAGCGGCGGANCAUGCGGNNUAAUUCGAUGCANCGCGAAGAACCUUACCNAGGCUUGACAUUUAC
rnacentral:rRNA from 1 species